UACGAAGGGGGCUAGCGUUGCUCGGAAUUACUGGGCGUAAAGCGCACGUAGGCGGCUCUUUAAGUCGGGGGUGAAAUCCUGGAGCUCAACUCCAGAACUGCCUUCGAUACUGAAGAGCUCGAGUCCGGGAGAGGUGAGUGGAACUGCGAGUGUAGAGGUGAAAUUCGUAGAUAUUCGCAAGAACACCAGUGGCGAAAGGCGGCUCACUGGCCCGGUACUGACGCUGAGGUGCGAAAGCGUGGGGAGCAAACAGG
rnacentral:rRNA from 1 species